CAGGUCUUGACAUCCCGCUGACAAUAUAUGUAAAGUAUAUUCUCUUCGGAGCAGCGGAGACAGGUGGUGCAUGGUUGUCGUCAGCUCGUGUCGUGAGAUGUUGGGUUAAGUCCCGCAACGAGCGCAACCCCUAUCUUUAGUAGCCAGCGGAGGAAGCCGGGCACUCUAGAGAGACUGCCGGGGAUAACCCGGAGGAAGGCGGGGAUGACGUCAAAUCAUCAUGCCCCUUAUGAUCUGGGCUACACACGUGCUACAAUGGCGUAAACAAAGGGAAGCGAAGCGGUGACGCGGAGCAAAUCCCAAAAAUAACGUCCCAGUUCGGAUUGUAGUCUGCAACCCGACUACAUGAAGCCGGAAUCGCUAGUAAUCGCGGAUCAGAAUGCCGCGGUGAAUACGUUCCC
rnacentral:rRNA from 1 species